rnacentral:tRNA from 1 species
GCCCUUGUAGUUCAACGGACAGAACAUGGGCCUCCGAAGCCCAGGAUCCGCGUUCGAUUCGCGGCAAGGGCA